rnacentral:rRNA from 1 species
UACAGAGGGUGCGAGCGUUGUCCGGAAUCACUGGGCGUAAAGGGCGCGUAGGUGGCGACCCAAGUCGAUGGUGAAAGCUCGCCGCUCAACGGCGAGUCGGCCACCGAUACUGGGUUGCUGGAGCACUGUAGAGGGCUCAUGGGAAUUCCGGGUGGUAGCGGUGGAAUGCGUAGAGAGUCCGGAAGAACGACCGGUGGCGAAGGCGGUGAGCUGGGCAGUU